rnacentral:tRNA from 1 species
GGCCACGUAGCCAAGUAGUAAGGCGCGGGACUGCAAAUCCUGUAUGCGCGGGUGCGAUUCCCGCCGUGGCCU